AUUAUUAAGAACUAAAUAUUGUAAGUAAGUAAAUAUUAUGAAAACAAAAAAUUAUGGCGGUACUUUAAGCUUUUCAGAGGAAUUUGCUCUUUAAUGGAUAAAACACCUAAAUCUUACUAAAAUUAGUUUUAAGCCAGUUUGUAUACCACUAUAAAAGUAAUAAUUUAUAAUUAUUACUUAAAUUUUAAGUUUAAAAUUAACUUAAGUCAUGGUGCAGCAAAAAUUUUAGGUUGAAGUGAAUUACAUUUCUUUUCAGUUUUUUAAAAUUUAAAAAUUAAUUAGGAUUUGAAAGUAAAAAUAUAAUAUAAUGAUAUUUUGAAUUAAGUUCUGAAGUAUGUACA
rnacentral:rRNA from 1 species